GCACUGGACCCAGACUUCCCAGGAACCCAGGGUCCUAGGUUGUGGUUUAGCUGCCACUGAAAGCAAGGAAAAAAUGAAGGUAGAGACUCCAAGCUCUGGGUUCUGGAGGAAGAGCUCUCAGGAGGCUGUGUGAGACACUCAAAUACUUCACAAGCAGAAACUGGGCGAUGGUGUUGCCAUUGUGACUGAUUCCGCCGGCUGCUUCAAGCUCCCGCUGCCUUGCCCCUCCCUGCCAUGAUGGACUGUACCACAAACUGUGAGCCAAAAUAAGCCUUUCAUCCUUUGAGUUGCUUCUGUGACAGUUAUUUGCUAGCUUGAGACAGGACCUCACUGUGUAGCCCAGGUUGGCCUGGAAUUCACAGAGACCCACCUGCCUCUGCCUCUCCUGAAUGCUGGGAUUAAAGGCGUGCACCACCA